rnacentral:rRNA from 1 species
CGGGACACGUGGUAUCCUGUCUGAAUAUGGGGGGACCAUCCUCCAAGGCUAAAUACUCCUGACUGACCGAUAGUGAACCAGUACCGUGAGGGAAAGGCGAAAAGAACCCCGGCGAGGGGAGUGAAAAAGAACCUGAAACCGUGUACGUACAAGCAGUGGGAGCACGCUUAGGCGUGUGACUGCGUACCUUUUGUAUAAUGGGUCAGCGACUUAUAUUCUGUAGCAAGGUUAACCGAAUAGGGGAGCCGAAGGGAAACCGAGUCUUAACUGGGCGUUAAGUUGCAGGGUAUAGACCCGAAACCCGGUGAUCUAGCCAUGGGCAGGUUGAAGGUUGGGUAACACUAACUGGAGGACCGAACCGACUAAUGUUGAAAAAUUAGCGGAUGACUUGUGGCUGGGGGUGAAAGGCCAAUCAAACCGGGAGAUAGCUGGUUCUCCCCGAAAGCUAUUUAGGUAGCGCCUCGUGAAUUCAUCUCCGGGGGUAGAGCACUGUUUCGGCAAGGGGGUCAUCCCGACUUACCAACCCGAUGCAAACUGCGAAUACCGGAGAAUGUUAUCACGGGAGACACACGGCGGGUGCUAACGUCCGUCGUGAAGAGGGAAACAACCCAGACCGCCAGCUAAGGUCCCAAAGUCAUGGUUAAGUGGGAAACGAUGUGGGAAGGCCCAGACAGCCAGGAUGUUGGCUUAGAAGCAGCCAUCAUUUAAAGAAAGCGUAAUAGCUCACUGGUCGAGUCGGCCUGCGCGGAAGAUGUAACGGGGCUAAACCAUGCACCGAAGCUGCGGCAGCGACGCUGAUGCGUUGUUGGGUAGGGGAGCGUUCUGUAAGCCUGUGAAGGUGUGCUGUGAGGCAUGCUGGAGGUAUCAGAAGUGCGAAUGCUGACAUAAGUAACGAUAAAGCGGGUGAAAAGCCCGCUCGCCGGAAGACCAAGGGUUCCUGUCCAACGUUAAUCGGGGCAGGGUGAGUCGACCCCUAAGGCGAGGCCGAAAGGCGUAGUCGAUGGGAAACAGGUUAAUAUUCCUGUACUUGGUGUUACUGCGAAGGGGGGACGGAGAAGGCUAUGUUGGCCGGGCGACGGUUGUCCCGGUUUAAGCGUGUAGGCUGGUUUUCCAGGCAAAUCCGGAAAAUCAAGGCUGAGGCGUGAUGACGAGGCACUACGGUGCUGAAGCAACAAAUGCCCUGCUUCCAGGAAAAGCCUCUAAGCAUCAGGUAACAUCAAAUCGUACCCCAAACCGACACAGGUGGUCAGGUAGAGAAUACCAAGGCGCUUGAGAGAACUCGGGUGAAGGAACUAGGCAAAAUGGUGCCGUAACUUCGGGAGAAGGCACGCUGAUAUGUAGGUGAAGCGACUUGCUCGUGGAGCUGAAAUCAGUCGAAGAUACCAGCUGGCUGCAACUGUUUAUUAAAAACACAGCACUGUGCAAACACGAAAGUGGACGUAUACGGUGUGACGCCUGCCCGGUGCCGGAAGGUUAAUUGAUGGGGUCAGCGCAAGCGAAGCUCUUGAUCGAAGCCCCGGUAAACGGCGGCCGUAACUAUAACGGUCCUAAGGUAGCGAAAUUCCUUGUCGGGUAAGUUCCGACCUGCACGAAUGGCGUAAU